AACCCAUAGUGAGGACACUGCCUUAAUAACCCUUUGAAUCUAUCUUAUGCUUCAAAUAGUGAUUCUCCAUCUUCCUGAGUAAAAUUUGUAAUGUAAUUCCUCAUGUA